UACGUAGGGUGCAAGCGUUAUCCGGAAUUAUUGGGCGUAAAGAGCUCGUAGGCGGUUUGUCGCGUCUGCUGUGAAAACUGGAGGCUCAACCUCCAGCCUGCAGUGGGUACGGGCAAACUAGAGUGCGGUAGGGGAGAAUGGAAUUCCUGGUGUAGCGGUGAAAUGCGCAGAUAUCAGGAAGAACACCCGUGGCGAAGGCGGUUCUCUGGGACGGUACUGACGCUGAGACGCGAAAGCGUGGGGAGCGAACAGG
rnacentral:rRNA from 1 species